rnacentral:rRNA from 1 species
UGAGGAACAUGACCUUCGGCGGGGGAUAGCCGGCCCAACGGCCGGGUAAUACCGCGUACGACCACAUGGGGACAUCCCUGAGUGGUGAAAGCAGCAAUGCGCCGAUGGAGUGCCUCGCGGCCUAUCAGCUAGUUGGUGAGGUAACGGCUCACCAAGGCGACGACGGGUAGCUGGUCUGAGAGGAUGGCCAGCCACAUUGGGACUGAGACACGGCCCAGACCUNUACGGGAGG